AGCAUAAGUGCCUGCCUUGCAAGUGUGUGGUCGUGAGUUUGAUCCCUGGUACCAAUAAAAAAGAAAAAGACACAAACAAACAACAACAACAACAAAACAAAUUCUUGAGUACAUCAGUGAGAGAUUCUCUAGGAUUUAUACUUUGGGGGAAAAAAGUUGGGGGCUGUGUAUCCUAGACUCAGUUAACUUCAGCAUCUGUGCUCUGUCAUCUCCAGCAUGGCUGAACAAUUCACACAGUCAUCAGCAGUUCUGAGAAUAUCCACACACCCUCCCUGCCCCACUCCUGUCAGUAUUUCAUAGGAUCACACUUUAAGAUUUUGCUAAUCUAAUGGAUGGUUUUAUUUGUAUUUCUUUGACUACUAGUUCUAAUUUUAGUGUAUGUGCUGCCAGAGUGAACACAUCCUUGAUUACUGGUGAGUUUGACUUUUCCUCAAGUUUUUUGGCUAUUCAAGUUUUCUUCUUUGCCCGAUGGAGGCUUCCUUUAUGCUGGAUUCUCAUCUUUUGUCAGCUAUAUGCAUCACAAAAUCGUCUUAGGGAGAAAUUCCAAUCUCUGUUUACUAAGUAGCAAGCAUUGCAGAUGGCUGUUGCAAAUGACGCUUUAUUCUAGAGUUGGCUCUAAGCUUUGACAAAGAAAGAAAGCAAGGCUGUUGUGACAUAUAUUGUGGGGUGACAUGAUAACAGAGUAAGUCACAGUUCUUGGUGAAUGUCAGGCUUGAGUUAUUGGGGAGAAAGAAUCUAUCAAAAGCAAGAAACUAAUGUGUUGGAAAGCAGGUCAAAGCCAGUACAUUAGGGGCAGAAGGAAGAGACGUUUCCAGAAUAUGUGUUAAGGGGUAGACCCUGGUGGGGGAUGACUCUCUAAUAGGGUGGUUUCCAAUGGCUCUCAGGACUUAGGGUAAGAGGCCCCCUCAUUCCCAACUGUAAGUCCAGAGGUAGCCAUGCAGGGUGGUAUUUGAGAAGAAAAAUUCUUCACAGUUGGAGACUCAUCCCUGCUGCCACCAAGAUUUCACAGUGAUUGGCAGUCACUUUGCCAGGGAGGGUGGCUGCUCUCCACCACGGGAUGGGGCAGGGCGCUAGAGCUCUGAUCUGGACCAAGCGUCAUUGGACUUCAGACAGUCAGGUUUCAUUCUAUGCUGACUCCAACCUAGGACAUGCAAAUAGCACAACUGGAUGGUUUAGAUUUUGCCUUGUUUUCUUUCCUAUCUACCUACCUAGAAGAGGAGUAGGGGAGGCUGUGUGUCAAGAUGAUCCUCUCUAGAUGAAGGCAGAAAAGAAAUCCUCAGCAUAGAUGGCUGGCCAGUGACACACAGGACUGGUAGGACCACACUGGCAGUAUGGUCCUGUCUUGCCACGUGGAAUGCAAUGACCUGUGUGUUGACACAUCCGAGAAGCUUGGAAACAUAUAUCUCCUUUAAAAAGCGAUAUUUGUGGCUGUCUCCAGAGCCAUGUGAGGAAACCUAUCCCUGUUGAUGAAAAGUCCCGAAGCUGUGAAAGUGGCUGAGAAACAUCUGGUUACAGCGUGGGAGAAAAGGGUGUGAAAUGCUGACCGGCAGCCAAGACAGUUCUGGCUUUCAGUAACUGGAUUCUGAAAAUCUCAGCCUCAGAUAUGAUGUGAGAAGCCCUCUGCAGGACCUGCCCUUUGUAUAAAGUGAAACCUCCUCCUACAGAACUAAGAAGUACGGUACAACCCUUGAAGCAGUGGAUAACACAUUACUUCAUGAAGUGCUAUAAUUGAUAAUGUUUGGAAUCUCAAGACCUUUUGAGUUUAUUUUUUAAGGAAUCUGAUUGCUUUCCUGAUUAAUAUUAAUUUAAUAAA